UUUGACUAUGUUGAUUGUCUGUCCUUUGACACCACAGUCACAAAUACUGAUUGGCUAAAAGGAGUCUGUACUCUUAUUGAGCAGUGGAGAGGAAAAGCUUUGAUUUGGAUGACUUGUCGUCAUCAUGUCUACGAAUUACAUAUAAAGCACUUUUCAAGUGUUCUUACUGGAGGUAAAACAAGUGGACCAAAGACUGAGUUAUUUGAAAGGCUAAAGUGUAAUUGGGAAUCGAUUCUUGAAAAGAAGAUAAAUUAUGAUAACCUAAAGAGAUUUGACUCAGAAAAAAAAAAUUAAAUCUUUUUUGGAAAAGCAGGCUUCUGAAUCAUUAACAUUCCUUCAAAAUUGCCUCGAUAAUGAUAUAUUUCCAAGAAAUGACUACAAGUAUUUUAUACAGUUAGCAGUUCUUUGGUUAGGUGGCAAAGUAAAAGAUUUUCACUUUAGAUUUCCAAUGGCUUCACAUCAUGCCAGGUUUAUGGCACAGGGCGUUUAUUAUUAAACAUACAACAUUCUACAGCCACAAUUCAGUAACUUAUGUCCUGAUAUAAUAUCAUUACAAGAGGGAAAGCUGAUUCAUGAAAUUGGUUCAUUUACAGCACUAUUGUAUGUUCCAUGGUUUAUUAAAGCUCCUAUCCCUGCCAUAGCACCUUUUUUAGAUCUAAAAGCCAUUAAUGAAAUGAUACAAUAUUCUGAAUUAUGUCUUAAACCAGCAGAGGCCGUACUAAAGUCACUUGAAAAACACAAUUGGUAUUUAAAUAAAAGAUUUGUGGUUAUGUGUCUUGAUGAUAAAUGCUUACCUGUAGAUCAGCUACAUAAAUUAGCUCUUAAAUUAGCUCAAACAGCAAAGCC